UAGGGAAUCUUUCACAAUGGGCGAAAGCCUGAUGGAGCAACGCCGCGUGCAGGAUGAAGGCCUUCGGGUUGUAAACUGCUUUUAUAAGCGAGAAAUAUGAUGGUAACUUAUGAAUAAGGAUCGGCUAACUACGUGCCAGCAGCCGCGGUCAUACGUAGGAUCCGAGCAUUAUCCGGAGUGACUGGGUGUAAAGAGUUGCGUAGGUGGCAUAAUAAGUAGCUAGUGAAAUCUGGUGGCUCAACCAUUCAGACUAUUAGCUAAACUGUUAAGCUCGAGACCGUUAGGGGUAACUGGAAUUUCUAGUGUAGGAGUGAAAUCCGUAGAUAUUAGAAGGAACACCGAUAGCGUAGGCAGGUUACUGGGACGGUUCUGACACUAAGGCACGAAAGCGUAGGGAGCA
rnacentral:rRNA from 1 species